rnacentral:rRNA from 1 species
UCCGAACAGGCAAGUUAAGCUUCAUUGUGCCGAUGGUACUGCAGAGGAGGCUCUGUGGGAGAGUAGGUAGCUGCCAGGU